rnacentral:rRNA from 1 species
UGGGGAAUUUUGGACAAUGGGCGAAAGCCUGAUCCAGCAAUGCCGCGUGUGUGAAGAAGGCCUUCGGGUUGUAAAGCACUUUUGUCCGGAAAGAAAUCCUUGGCUCUAAUACAGUCGGGGGAUGACGGUACCGGAAGAAUAAGCACCGGCUAACUACGUGCCAGCAGCCGCGGUAAUACGUAGGGUGCAAGCGUUAAUCGGAAUUACUGGGCGUAAAGCGUGCGCAGGCGGUUUGCUAAGACCGAUGUGAAAUCCCCGGGCUCAACCUGGAACUGCAUUGGUGACUGGCAGGCUAGAGUAUGGCAGAGGGGGGUAGAAUUCCACGUGUAGCAGUGAAAUGCGUAGAGAUGUGGAGGAAUACCGAUGGCGAAGGCAGCCCCCUGGCAAGUACUGACGCUCAUGCACGAAAAGCGUGGGGGAGCAAAACNGGAUUAAUACCCUGGUAGUCCACGCCCCUAAANGAUGUCAACUAGUUGUUGGGGAUUCAUUUCCUUAGUAACGUAGCUAACGCGUGAAGUUGACCGCCU